rnacentral:rRNA from 1 species
UACGUAGGGGGCGAGCGUUGUCCGGAUUUAUUGGGCGUAAAGAGCUCGUAGGCGGCUUAGCAAGUCGGGUGUGAAAACUCCAGGCUCAACCUGGAGACGCCACUCGAGACUGCUAUGGCUAGAGUCCGGUAGGGGACCACGGAAUUCCUGGUGUAGCGGUGAAAUGCGCAGAUAUCAGGAGGAACACCGGUGGCGAAGGCGGUGGUCUGGGCCGGCACUGACGCUGGGGAGCGAAAGCGUGGGGAGCAAACAGG